rnacentral:rRNA from 1 species
CCGCGGUGAUACAGAGGUCUCAAGCGUUGUUCGGAAUUACUGGGCGUAAAGCGUGCGUAGGCGGCGAGGUAAGUCAGAUGUGAAAUCCCGGGGCUCAACCCUGGAACUGCAUCCGAUACUGCCUUGCUCGAGUAGUGGAGGGGAGUCUGGAAUUCACGGUGUAGCAGUGAAAUGCGUAGAUAUCGUGAGGAACACUAGUGGCGAAGGCGAGACUCUGGACACUUACUGACGCUGAGGCACGAAGGCCAGGGUAGCGAAAGGGAUUAGAUACCCCUGUAGUCCUGGCAGUAAACGGUGCACGUUUGGUGUGGGAGGAUUCGACCCCUUCCGUGCCGGAGCUAACGCGUUAAACGUGCCGCCUGGGGAGUACGGUCGCAAGAUUAAAACUCAAAGAAAUUGACGGGGACCCGCACAAGCGGUGGAGUAUGUGGCUUAAUUCGAUGCAACGCGAAGAACCUUACCUGGGCUUGACAUGCUUGUCGUAGUCCCGUGAAAGCGGGACGUCGGUUCGGCCGGACUUGCACAGGUGCUGCAUGGCUGUCGUCAGCUCGUGUCGUGAGAUGUUGGGUUAAGUCCCGCAACGAGCGCAACCCCUGUGAACAGUUGCCAGCGGGUAAUGCCGGGGACUCUGUUCAGACUGCCCAGAUCAACUGGGAGGAAGGUGGGGACGACGUCAAGUCAGUAUGGCCCUUAUGCCCAGGGCUGCACACGUACUACAAUGCCCAGCACAAUGUGAACCGAUACCGCGAGGUGGAGGAAAUCCCAAAAACUGGGCUCAGUUCGGAUUGGAGGCUGCAACUCGCCUCCAUGAAGCCGGAAUCGCUAGUAAUGGCGUAUCAGCUACGACGCCGUGAAUACGUUCCCGGGUCUUGUACACACCGCCCGUCACAUCAUGGAAGCCGGUCGUGCCCGAAGUGUCUGUGCCAACCGCAAGGAGGCAGGGCCCUAAGGUAUAACUGGUAACUGGGGUGAAGUCGUAACAAGG